rnacentral:tRNA from 1 species
GCCGGUGUAGCUCAGUUGGUAGAGCAGCGCAUUCGUAAUGCGAAGGUCGGAGGUUCGACUCCUCUCCCCGGCACCA